CGAGCCAGCACCUUGCUUAACCCCUUCCCGCCCGCGCCUAGGGCGCGCAGCGAGUCUGGGGUGCCCGGGUAGGCGCAGGACUGCGCCCACCAGGACAACGUCGAGGGUGGAGAGUAUGGUGGUCUUCCGAGGACCCAAGCCUGCAGUCUCCAGAAGCCCCCUAAAUCGCCAGGGGCGGUUCCCGGGGACCCAGGCCCGCACUCUCGCGAUCUUACGCUAAAUUGCCAAGGGCAAGCGCAAGGUUGUGCUAAGGCGCGGCUCACAACGUUUGAGAGGAUGGAGAGAGGCCACACCCCCUCGAUUAACGUCACUGUUUCCAAGGCAAUCGGAGGCGGGGCUGUAGACAAGCGGACUUUGGGGACUAUGGCUUAAUAGGGCUCCAGGACAGGGUGCGGCUGGGCUGGGGGCUCGGCGGGGUGGGACGUUUCUGUCUUUGCUUUUUUAUUGACUCGCUUGAUUUUUGAUUCAACAGAUAUUUAUGCUUGGCGCCAUUCUUAGGGACUGUUUUUCUCUCACCAAGUCUGCGGUUCACAGGUUGUCACUAAGCCGGGUGGAGUGGCCAUGCACCCAGGAUAUGAUCCUGGGAUAGAUGUAAUGCCUUUUUAUUAAAUUUACUGUAGGGGGCUGGGGCUCAUGUGCUAUAACGUGCAUCUGGAGAUAUGAGGGCAGGCAAUUUGUGGGAGUUGGUUCUCGUCUUCUACCUUGUGAGACCCCAACUCAUGUCAGGCUUGGCGGCACCUUUAUCCACUGCGCUAUGUAAUUAUUCAGUGUCUCCUUUCUCUUGUCAAGUACCCCAGAGCGAGCACUAAUCAGUGAAGACUUGGUUCUCUAAUUCAUGGAAGGUCUCAGCUAUUCAGGGAAGGAGGACAAAGUGUUCCAUGCUCACCACGUACCAACUCCUUCCCAGCAUUUUAGGUCUUGUGAUCUUUGCCCUGUUGUAUUUCUGGUGCCUUUUACAGCCUAGGAACUGAGUCUGAGCUCUCAGAGGACCCUAAGCCCGAUAGCUAAGUGUUGGAACCAGGACCCUAAGCCAGAUAGCUAAGUGUUGGAACCAGGUUGG
rnacentral:lncRNA from 1 species